CUACGGGGGGCUCCAGUGAGGAAUUUUGCGCAAUGGGCGAAAGCCUGACGCAGCAACGCCGCGUGAGUGAUGAAGGCCUUCGGGUCGUAAAGCUCUGUCAAGUGGGAAGAACCUAUGUAAUGUUAAUAUCAUUAUAUACUGACGGUACCACUGAAGGAAGCACCGGCUAACUCCGUGCCAGCAGCCGCGGUAAUACGGGGGGUGCAAGCGUUAUUCGGAAUCAUUGGGCGUAAAGGGCACGUAGGCGGCCUGGUAAGUCAGAUGUGAAAGCCCGGGGCUUAACCCCGGAAGUGCAUUUGAUACUGUCAGGCUUGAGUAUGGGAGAGGGAAGUGGAAUUCCUGGUGUAGAGGUGAAAUUCGUAGAUAUCAGGAGGAACACCGGUGGCGAAGGCGACUUCCUGGACCAAUACUGACGCUGAGGUGCGAAGGCGUGGGUAGCAAACAGGAUUAGAUACCCUUGUAGUC
rnacentral:rRNA from 1 species